GCAAGUCGAACGAUGAACCAGGGCUUGCCCUGGGAGUUAGUGGCGAACGGGUGAGUAACACGUGGGCAACCUGCCCCAGACACCGGGAUAACCUCUCGAAAGAGUGGCUAAUACCGGAUAUGACCACUUCGGGCAUCCGACGGUGGUGGAAAGGAUUCUGGUCUGGGAUGGGCCCGCGGCCUAUCAGCUAGUUGGUGGGGUAAUGGCCUACCAAGGCGACGACGGGUAGCCGGCCUGGGAGGGCGACCGGCCACACUGGGACUGAGACACGGCCCAGACUCCUACGGGAGGCAGCAGUGGGGAAUAUUGCGCAAUGGGCGAAAGCCUGACGCAGCGACGCCGCGUGAGGGACGAAGGUCUUCGGAUUGUAAACCUCUUUCAGCAGGGACGAAGCGAAAGUGACUGUACCUGCAGAAGGAGCACCGGCUAACUACGUG
rnacentral:rRNA from 1 species